CAAAAAAACACCCCACAAAAAACCGCCCCUAUCGAUCCGUCCAGGACACAGAGCCACCCUCCUCUCGUGCGAUCUCGCUGCCGCCGCCCUCCGAUCCGCUCCUCCUCGUCUCCCGAGGAUACGCAACCGCAUCCGCCGACGCCGAUCCGGGCAGACGCAGCCGUCGUCGAUCACGAGGACACCGCUACCACCGACGCCUCGGUUACGUUGCUCGUCGCGGAUCAGGAUCCCCAGGACGCCGCCGCCGCCGCCGCCGCGGAUCCGCUGCCACGCACAGCUCGGGGCGGAGCCGCGACGGGCUCGGCUAUGGCCGCUGCUGCGUGCGCCCUUCGUCUCCAGGAUCGGCAAGCUCCGCCGCCAGCCACCCCCACGCACAUCGGCGUCAAGCUAUCUUCUUGUGUUGUUUUCCUCCAUAGGCUUAUGACUCGAGGCAUGAUGUGCACAAUUACAGAAGGCCAUACAGUCGGCGGCAAAGUGCUCGCUGUCGCCAAUGAUUGACUGUUGAGGAUCUCCAUUCGGGGCUACCUGCUCAAAUAAUAUGGUCAAUAGCUGAUCCUGUGAUCCAUUCUACGGAUGAAGAAGGAGAAGACGAGGGAACACAAUAAUUUCUGUGUAAUAUUAUUUGUUUAUGAUGUGGCUACUCUGGAAUACAAUUUAUGGGCGAGAGAGCAGACUUUCAAAUUUGGUGCGGUACUAUAUCUUAUCAGAUUCAGUAACCAGCAUGGAAUUAAUUUUAAUUUUGUUCUUCAUCAGAUAAGUAGAGCCACGCUUUACCCCAAUCUUCAUUUGAUGAAUCUCAACUACAAAAAUUGUGAUAGUUGCACUGUAUUUUGUUGGGUCCAACAUAAAGCUGAGAACAGAGUACCUACUUUGUCUUGGUAUAUCAAAAUAAUAAGGAAUAUGUGAGAUUAGAUAAGCCAAAUAGUUGGUACUUGCUGAGUCUACAAAAUUAUCUUAAUUGUUCCAUUUAGUAGUUCACUGAAUAUUAAACUAUGAUGUUUCUUCCAUUGGGAAGUUGUUUUAUGUAGCCUGAACAACAAACAACCUAUGAGCUUCUGAACCAAUUCUUUCUUUUUUAGUAGGACCUUAUGCUCUUUUAACUGAAAAACAGGGAGCACUAGCAGUUCUUCACAAGGUAAUCGCCUCCUAUGAAUGUUUGGUGGUGCUGCUCCAAUUUCUAUUGCAUUGCUUCUGAUGUAUGAAUGGACUAUUUUCCUAAUUUGCUAAUUAACGCAACUGGCGUAAUUCUUCAUGAGAAUAGAUAUUUUUGUAGUGCACAGUACGCGUUUUUUAGUUACCCUCCUUAUGAAUAGAUUUUUUGUAGUGUACAAUACACUUCUUUUGUCAGGAUUGCCUGUUGCUUGCUACUGCUACUGCUUGUACAAUUGUGUUGUUUUGUAUAAUUUCUUAACUGUUAAGAGAUAUUUCCACACUGAGAUUUUUCUAAGGGCAGGAAAAUGGAUUGGACAAUGCCGCUAGCUCGGAUGGAGCCCCGUCUGGAUGUCGAUUGGGGGCGACGUGAGGAGGGACAAGGUAGAGAAAGGGGGUCAGGUUAGCGCCCAGUAGAGGUGAGCGAGGGGGCCGGGGUUGCGUCGCCGCCGAGAUGCGCGAGGGGAUCGGAGCUGCGCCAAGCGGAUUCAUCAGAGCACUUUGCUCCCGCUGCCUUUGGCCUAAUGCUUAGAUGGGUUGAUGCGUAAGUUUGAAUCCUUUCAUUUUUCACUUCUCUAAUGGGUGGCUGAUGGCCUGAUGCUUUGAUGGAUUGAUGCAUGCUAGAACUGGCUGAUAUGUGCGUAUGUGUGCACAUUUUUUUCUUUUGAUUUUUGUAGAGAUUGGUUCAUGCUUCUCUGCAUAUGGAUUUCUUCUUUCUUCUGUCUGUGUUUGUCACUCUGUUGCUGAAUGAUCUGGUGAUUUUUUUUUCUUUGUGGGCUUAUCUGAUGAAAUUUACUGCUAAUUAGAUCGUGCACUGGCGCUGCCACCAGAAGAUCGAUCAUAGAUGCAUGUGUUUGCUUUCGAACAUGGUGGAUGGUGCGUAAUCUUUAGGUUUGCCAACUGUCACCUCCGGCAAUUUCAGUUCAACAUGUCUUGGUUUCUGCAUUCUGAGUUCAGAGUUCUACAUAGUGGAAUGGUUAGUAUAUGGGAGUUUGCAUCUACAAUUGCAUACUGUAGUUCCAUUUCGUCCUUCCUUAUUCAGAGAUGAACUGAACCUCUCAUUUUUCAUGUACUUUUGUGUGAUUGUAUGAAAGUGCGGUGGAACUGACUAUUCCGGGGGGAAAUCAAAUGAUACCACAUUAGUAGUAGAACGUACUACUUGCUCUUAAGAUUUCAGAAAUGACAUGUCAAGGACAGGGUAUAGAGCUCCGAAAAUUAUUCUCCUUCCGUCAUCGGUUGCUAAAUCAGUAACGCCCAGCCUCGUGUGCGAUGGAGCCCUUACCGCUGUUCACAACUGAACUCUUUAUUUUAUUUUAAUCCUUCGGAUUUGUCGGGUCAAGGAUCCUUCAGUUUUGUCGGAUCAGGAAGUACUGGGACUUCAAGGACGAUGUAGAUUGUCGAAGGCAAAGUUGCAGAGUGCAUGGGCAGCAGUACCAGUGCAAGAACCUCGCGCAUGACGGAGCUCCUAUGGCAGAGAAGCAAAACUCAACGACUAACUCUACAAGCUCUGGUCACUGUCUUAAACAUCACCAACGUAAGCAUAUCUCACUCCAUUAUGCAAAUCUUAUUUCUGAUUUUUUUGAUUCUAUUUCAGUACUUGUACCUUUUUACAAUGCGUUUAGUGCAUAUGAAUGAAGUAUAUUGAUUUAUCUUCUACCUAUGGUUUUCUGUGCUUUAUUGGUGCUCAACGUUUUUGACAUGUUGGCAUGCAUAUUAGAUAUUACUAAAUUUGGACAAGCAACCUGCCAACAGAUACAAAGAAGGGAUAUAUGUCUUUUGAUCUUCUUGAUGGCAUAUAUGAGGACCUGCAAUACUGAGCCUGGAAGUUAGUCGUUGAGGCACUGGUCAUGGUAGUGAUAUCUACUGCCAGAACAUAAACGUUUGGCCCUCCUUGUUGCCACGAAGGAUUUUGAUCUACUGGAUUUGCAGAACCAGUUAAUGGCAUGAUGCUGGCUGUAGUAAUGGAGGGUUGUGAUUUCUGGAUGUUGUGCUAGGAUUAGGAUGGAUUGGCGUCCUCUUCUCACGAAACACACUGACACAAAGUUUCUGGUUUCUAACGUACAAGGAUUAUUUACUAUGAACAAAUAUUGCAAUGUUCAUUGGUAGUACUGUUUGUUGAGGUGAUGCCUCUGCUACAGUAGGUAAUCUAGGAUGCUUUGUAUCCCUAGACCCACACCCACACACGACCGCCAUCUCCCACUUUCCUCAGUAUCACGACCUGAUGCGACGUUGGCAGCGCAAUCAGUCGGAGGAGGCCAGUGCUGACGAUGACGACUCUGCGAUGGGGAAAGGUCGCUUGUCGUCGCGGCACCAGCAAUUCCACGAUCGCAUAAUACCCGCAUGUUGAUGACCUCCAGGACUCUCCGGCCUCCUCCCUCCAGGUACCUCGCCAAACCCUAACCGUCUCAGGUUCACAGUUUAUUAUUAUACUACUAUUGUUUAAUUAGAUGGUAACAUAAAACUUGGAGUGUUUGAUAGGAGUUCUUAUUCACGGUCUGAGAUGCUGACUGGGUUCUCUCUGUCUCUCACAAGUUUGUCCUUGUGUUAUCUCUUUAUUCAGGGUACUCCCUCCGUUUCUAAAUGUAAGAUCUUUUAGAGAUUUCACUAUAGACUACAUACGUAACAAAAGGAGUAAAUCUACACUCUAAAGUAUGUCUAUAUACAUCCGUAUGUAGUCCACAGUGGAAUCUCUAAAAGGUCUUAUAUUUAGAAACGGAGGGAGUAAAAAAAUGCCUAGAAUAAAGAAAUGAUGAAUUGUAUUGUACACAUUAUUGUAGUUAAAGAUUAUGUUUAAAAUCGAUCACACUUUGGAUGCUGCCAACUUGCAGGGUCGAUGAGACAUUAAAUUGCCAUAUUGCUUUUCCCUCUUCUUCACGUGUUAGGAAUAUAUCUUUAACAAUAGAAUUUAAUAUUUGUGGUUUCACAUAAGGAAGAGACGGUAUUAUAUCAGUCACGAGUGAUGGAGUCAUGUGGUUGUUGCCGUCGUGCUAAAUGUUGGUGCAGUGUAAAAUUCCUGAGCUAGACAUUAUGGUACAAUAUUAAUUUUAGGAUUGUUGCCAAUCAUACCCGUCUGUAGCUAUAUCAUAUUGCAAAAUUCCAUGAACAUUUGGUCCACACUAUUUUUCUGUUAUACUGUUCCUGCCCAAGGGUGGAUGAAGGUGGACGUGGGCGCCGCGGCUGCCACCAAGGAUGUAGGGGUCACGCUACAACCGGUGAGGACACGGUAGGCACGCCAACCGCACUAUAGCCUUACAAUUUUUCCUAAUUUCUCUAGGUAUGCGAGAUCAAUUUAAUAUUCACAUAUAUGCUGAAAUUUUGACUUAGAAAAACCAGCACUGAAGUUAUAUGAAGUUUCUUGCGAGAGCUAUAUCAUUCUUUUUAGUACUACAAAUUAAUUCCCAUGAGUACCAAUGGUGAGAUUUUGAGGCGUAAAUACUGGAUGUGAUUCUCAUUGCUGGCAAUCUUCAUGAACCUAUCAAGGAGAACAUUGCAAUACUUAUCCGUUGCACAGGCGUUCUCAACACUGGCUAGCAACAAGAGAGAAUGAUUGUACAAUGCUCACUGUUGUAAGCUUGAUUCAAGAGGAGCUUCUCAAUGUUGUACAUGUAGGCUGUGAGUAACAGAAAUAAUACCUAUUUGUUCACUCUUUUCCUGUACCUAUGAUUCAUCUGCCACUAUUCAGUAGAGUUCAGUUAUGUGCUUCAAUAUUAGGAAGUCAUCAUCUUCUAAAACAUACCGUUGCCUACUCAACAUAUUUUGUUCCUUUUUGUUUCCAACAGAUUAUGUAUAAACACAUGUGUACAAUAGAAGCGGCAGAACCUGCAUUGGACCGUCCUCAUUUGCUCUGUCCAUUUUUUCCAAAGAAAUAACACUUCUGCAGUCCUAUGCAUUCAGAAAUACGAUUUAGUGUGCUAUUAAUCCUCGUAAUCGCACGCUAUAUUUUCUGUGGGAAUUUCAUCCAUUCUGAUUUUGAGGCAAAUAUAUCAGUUAAUUUUUUUAUUCUAGCAAGGUACCAUAUACAUGUUAUGAAAUUCUCCUUUGCCUACCAGGUCAACCACUUAGGCAGGAGGGAAUUCAUUUAUCAAUAAAAAUAAAUUUGUCUGAGGGAAUGUUAUCUUAUUUCUCCAGUAUAACCAAAUGAACACUACGAUGAACUUAACAUCUCUCUAUCAUUAUUUCUCUAAGAUGCAAGCGAUAUAUAAAAUUUAAAAAGCCCGUGGUAACGCACGGGCCGUCUACUAGUUUCGUUCAGUUCAUGAGCAGUGGACAACCAGCUCAAGAGCAAGGCCUUUUUCAAGGUACCAACCAUAAUGCCACAUCUCUUUUUUGUGCCACGCAUUCAUCACUACAUUGUACAAAUUCCAAGGGAAUAAUGCUAAAAUAACAUGUUGUUGCUACAUUUUAAUGUAACGGUAUUGAUGCAGAUGACUUGUGUGCUUAAUUAUGAAGUUAAUUACUCGGCAGCACAUUUAUUUUCCAAGUCGCCACAGGGAAUUAUUCUUUUGGGAUCAUAUUUAUUCUCUGCAAAAGGUAGUCUCAACUUGCUUAAUGGCCACAUUUGACGGUUGCUUAAACCUUCUGGACAAGACGCAGACAUACAACUGUGUGACAACUUAAUGCCUUUUGGGGAAUUUUGAUUGCUUUUCCUAACAAGAAAGCAUAACAAUAUCUGCGAAUGUUAAUUACUUAGUUUACCAAAGGUAAAUGUCUGCGACAUGACAAGUAUGUGGAUUGAUUUUAAGUGAACCGACUAACUGGAUGAUUUGGUUCUUUGUGCUAAGUCUUUGAAAAAGAACGUACUUAUAUGUUCUACUGUAUUAUAUCAUAUGGCUAAUGCCAUAUUUGUUACAUACUAGCUAAAGAUGAAGAAAUAUUUACGCAAAGAACAUUCAUUUUCACAUUGCUUGGCAUGCGUCUAGGUCAUUCUAUUUAUUACCAUUGCUGAAAGCUGUACUUCUGCAUGCCGAUAGUUUCAUUCGAAUAGCUCUCCUUAGAUUUUUUCAUAGUUCAUUCCUUCCAGUUGUUUGAUAGCUUUGUGAUUAUUUCAAGAAAAUUGAUCUGUCUUGCAGACUGAAAGCAAUCUCAUCCAGUAGUUUGAUAUUAUGGUCAUUGCUCCAAACAAAUUGAUCAGUGUAGCAAACCGAAAACAAUUGGAUGCUGAUGCAAUCAUGGCCUGAGAUUAUUAACGAGUAAGGACAUGCAUAGAGUUGCUUCCUACUGGUACAUAACUAUUUUCUUUCUACAGGUACUAUGUUGAAUCUUCAUAGAUCUCAUCUUCAUGAGACUAGCGAAGGGUAUACGUUAGGAUGGAGAGAUGAGAAAUUAACCAGAUAGUACGUGGCUGAAUAAUUUUGAACUAGCUACUAUUUCUACAUGGAGUGCCAUGUUCAAAUAGACGAAGUGAAGUUGUAGUGGGUUCUGAGCCAUUCUUAUAAAGAUAGGGGUGUGUAGUAGCUAGCGGAGCUACGUAGCAAAAGCUGGGCGGGCCGGUAUGAAGAAAGACCACUAUUUUUUGUCCUCGUGACUCAAUUUACUUUAAUCCUACACUGCAUUUGCUCUUGAAUGGGCGGGCCAUGGCCAGCUCCGCCAGUGGGGGUGUGCCAUAUUAUUUUUCUCUCUUUGCAACGCACUACUCUUUCAUCGGAUGAAAUGAGAGUGUGGAGCUGAAAUAGGUCUUUCAUCGGAUGAAAUGAGAGUGUGGAGCUGAAAUAGGUCAGGAUGAACAUUGUUAGGAUACGUCCAAAUUUCAUGGCCAAAAAAGAAAUAUUCGGUGUAACCUUAUUCCUGACUUUGCAAAAAAUUAGAUUAAAAAGUGUUGCAUAAUGGCACGUGGAGCAGGUUAUAUUUAA